AGCUACAAAAUUCAAAGAUCCAGGGAUGUUGGGGUGUGUUUUGAUGGGAAGCAGGGCAGAGUCUCUUCUGCUGUGAGACCAGUGUGUCAUCUGUCAUGCUUGGUGGCAAGAGAGCUUUCUUUUCUCAACAUGAAACACAAUUGUUGCCAGAGGUAGAAAGACCCAUGGGAAGCCAAGGUCAGAACUCAACAGAAGGGAAUAAAAACUUAGGGGAGCAACAAGGAGGAAAAGAAAGGAAUGAGGAAACAAAUAUUAAAACAAGAGAAGAAAUAAAGGAAACACACAAAGUAUAGAGAUCCUGAUCAGUAGUGAUGUUCAGAGGGCUCAUCAGGCAGUGCUGCUGCCACUUCAAUGGAACCUAACAAAGACACUGAAGCACGCCCUCCAUGCCUCCAUCGUUUCCAUCCCAGAGAUUUCUCAAAGUGGCUCCCAUCACAGUGAUACUAUCCCUGACUGAUUUAGGUCCUUGCAGGCCUCAACAUUUCUGUCUUUACUUUGAUGAGUUAGAGCAGUGGCUUGCAGAGGUCAUUACAACUGUAACUGUCAGCUAUCAAUAGCUUCACUUUUCAUCACCCUUGGGGUCAUCACCACAGCGAAUGUUAUAUGGGCCUUGGCCAAACUUAGCUCAGCCAAGACACCAGUGAUUUGUGAGCAGGACCUAGACCUGUUCUUACCCUGAGACACUAUUCACCUUCUGAUCUCCACUACCUUAGGUUCAUGUUGACUGCCCUGCUUGCUCAAAUGACUGCAGGUAAAGGCUGCCCUCUGCAGUUGUACAAGACCACUUCAUUCCCCUGGGACAGGGGUGAGAACCUGAUAGACCACCAUGUAAAAAGCUACUGCAACUUACUUUCUCUCACUCAGAACACAGUGGCAUAUGGACAUGGCGAGAGAUGCAGGAAAGCAUUCCUCACACCUCAGCAGCCCAUGCCAUCCCAUCUGCUCUCACAUCCAGUUAAACGAUAUUCACUUCCCAAAUGCUGCCUCCUUGUGCCACCUACUGAGAGGGCUAUGCUUGAGGAAUAGCGCAGUUAGCAAGGCUCAGGAUAGAGACAUCAAGAACUAAAAAUCCAUGUAUUUUUUUGGUGCUGUGGAAUGCACUUAUAUUAGACUGUGCUGAAGAUGUGGUCCUGAGAGGAAAAUGUGGAGUGAUUCUCCAUACUGGCUGUCCCACACUGCGAAGACAAUGAGAGUUCCAGACAAAAAAAGACAAUCCUUCCAGGCAGAACAGAAUGCAGCAUCUCAUGGGAUUGUUCCUACUUCUUAACUCUUCUUGUGCUGCCAGGACACCACAGUGAAGGCCUCUCAGAAACUCCUAACCAGGUUGGUCAAACAGCUUGUGUAGCAUCUCUGCCAUCUGCAUAGUCUCCUCACUCCACAAAGUCAAGAAUACAGUCAUAGCUAUUAGACUGCACAAUCUCUGUUUGAAUUUGUCCAUAGUGAGUUGAUAGCAGCUGCUUAAGUAAAAAUUCUUUAUUUCUAAAAGUUAUCACUUCAAUACACAAUCUCUUUCCAAAGUUUAUCCUGCAUUCAUCUUCAUGACAGAAUAUUGUUCAUUAGCAUAAUAAAUCUUCUCAAUUUAUAUAGAAUAGCUUGAUAAACAAAUGCCAUCUGUCCAUUCAUUAGUAAUACAGAUUUAUUUGUAUUUGGCUGUUGAUCUCAGGUUGAUUUCAAAGUAUGGGUAUACUUCAUUGAUGCUGUUGUACAGAUGAGGAAACAAAGGCGUAGAAUGCUACAAACCAGAUCUCUCCAAGAUAAGUUAGUUCCUAAAUUGAUCCAUACUUGAGGAUAUAGAUCUGUGUGGUUUGAUUCUGUCUACCCAUGUCAGUAGUACAGCAUGGAUUAAAACUCGGCUCUUCUGAAUGCAGUGUCUUGCCUAGUGAGCCACAGGAUUAUUCUACCAUCAUUUUCUUCUGCUUUACUGUGUGUCUCGAUACAAUCCAUAAGGUUUAUCUCCAGUCUGCUCUACACCACUACAGAAAUAGGUUGCACUUAAUACUACUUAUUUUUUCUUUUUCUUUUUU